rnacentral:rRNA from 1 species
ACGCUCGACACCUACGGGGGCAGCAGUUGGGAAUAUUGGACAAUGGAGGAAACUCUGAUCCAGUGACGCCGCGUGAAGGAAGAAGGUCUUCGGAUUGUAAACUUAUUUUGUCAGGGAAGAAAAAAUGACUGUACCUGAAGAAAAAGCACCGGCUAACUACGUGCCAGCAGCCGCGGUAAUCUGAGGCGGGCUGGACAAGGC